rnacentral:ncRNA from 1 species
GACACGCUGGAGAAGCUCUGAAAAACGGGUGCCGAAGGUGAAAGCGUCAGAUACGCGAAUCUCUCAGGCAAAAGGACAGUGGAU